GUGGAACUGACCGUGGGAGCUUUAUGUCUGGAAAGAGCGUUCAUAAUCAAAGGAUUGAACGUCUGUGGCGUGACCUAAGGGUCUGUGUCACCUCCAAGUACUCUGAAACACUACAAAGCCUGGAAAGAGAUCACCUACUUGAUUUAUCCUCUGCAAAUGACAUUUUCUGUGUCCACUGUAUAUUUCUACCUAAACUAAAAGCAGACUUGGAGACUUUUGCUGCAGGCUGGAACAACCAUCCUCUCAGAACAGAGGGAAAUUUGAGCCCAGAGCAGAAGUGGUACAUUGGAAUGAUGCACACACAGAUUGAUCAGCCAGAGAAUCUUGAGGAUAUUCAAGAGCCGGACAUUGACUGGGAAGUAGCAGCA